CCUGGAAUUCGUCUGCCUGUUUGAGGCCUAAAAAAUCAACCCCCUUCUUCAAAAUGGUGUUGGGUUAGUGUUCACGUUGGUUGUGUUAGUGGAUGUAUUCAGUGUGGUUUAUCCUUCCGUGUCAGUGGAAUUGUACUCUGAGGUGCUAAAAUAAUCCGAGUCUAUUCUCACUCUAUUUUUGAUUGAGCGGUAUACUCGUCCAGACUCAAAAUCUGAGGUGUCCCUCAGAGAUUUUUGAUGUUUUUUGUCUUAAUUUUGUGUGAAAAAUCUAUCUAGGUUAUUUUUGAGUUUCACUUCCAAAUUCUCAAACUGUGGGUCACUUUUAAAUUUCUGUACCUCUUCUAUUGUAGUGUCUAACUCUUGUUGAAUAGUAG